rnacentral:piRNA from 1 species
UGACAGGACCAUUUUGAGGGACAAUAGUA